rnacentral:rRNA from 1 species
UACGGAGGGUGCAAGCGUUAUCCGGAAUCACUGGGUUUAAAGGGUGCGUAGGCGGCUCGGUAAGUCAGUGGUGAAAGCCCCUUGCUUAACGAGGGAGGUGCGAUUGAUACUGUCGUGCUUGAAUCGGGAUGAGGCAGGCGGAAUGUGGCAUGUAGCGGUGAAAUGCAUAGAGAUGCCAUAGAACACCGAUUGCGAAGGCAGCCUGCUGGGCCUGUAUUGACGAUGAGGCACGAAAGCGUGGGGAUCAAACAGG